AUUCAGCCUUCAGAUGGAAGGGACAGCCUUGAAGAUGCAUAAGUUUUGAUACUUAAACUUUUGGAGGAUUAAAUUUGUGAAAACAGAAGCUGAGGACCAAAGCAGCUACAGGACUGACCUGCCCAAAACCACACAGUGAGUCUGCAGCCCGGCUUCGGACCAGAGUUUCUUCUGACAAGAGGCAAGCUCAUUGAUGGCCACACCCGCUCAUCCUGGAUAACAGUAUUCCCCAGUGGAAUUAACACGAUGCAUCUUCCUGGAGCAUCAUUUUUACUUUAAGAUUUAAAAGCAAGCAAGCAAAUUAAAUAGUCAUUUAAAUCAUAUUUAUAUUAAGCCUAACAUGGCCAUAUUGUAGAGCAAACCAUCGGGAUUUAAUAAACAAAACAGGAAACUUCAAAGAAAUGCUUUUUCUUGGAAAGAAGGCAGGGGAGCAAGAAAAGCGACUGCCUCAGCCUUUAUCAUUCUCCAGACCAGUGCCAAGGAGCCAAAGAGAAGAAAUGAGAAUAACCAAGGUAUGCUGUGUCUAAUUAAUUAACUAUUAGCAAACAAAGGACCAAACAAUGUGACUGUAAGCUUCAUGACAGCAGGGAGUUUGUAUAUCUUUUCACCUGUGUAUCGGCAG
rnacentral:lncRNA from 1 species